rnacentral:rRNA from 1 species
AUUGAACGCUGGCGGCAUACUUUACACAUGCAAGUCGAACGGUAACAGGUUAAGCUGACGAGUGGCGAACGGGUGAGUAAUGCAUCGGAACGUGCCCGGUCGUGGGGGAUAACGCAGCGAAAGCUGCGCUAAUACCGCAUACGAUCUAAGGAUGAAAGCGGGGGACCGUAAGGCCUCGCGCGAUCGGAGCGGCCGAUGUCAGAUUAGGUAGUUGGUGGGGUAAAGGCUCACCAAGCCAACGAUCUGUAGCUGGUCUGAGAGGACGACCAGCCACACUGGGACUGAGACACGGCCCAGACUCCUACGGGAGGCAGCAGUGGGGAAUUUUGGACAAUGGGCGAAAGCCUGAUCCAGCAAUGCCGCGUGCAGGAAGAAGGCCUUCGGGUUGUAAACUGCUUUUGUACGGAGCGAAAAGGCCUCCUCUAAUACAGGGGGCUCAUGACGGUACCGUAAGAAUAAGCACCGGCUAACUACGUGCCAGCCGCCGCAGUAA